rnacentral:pre_miRNA from 1 species
GUUGUUCAUGUAUUGAUAGUGCUCAACACCAAGGACAGGCUAAGUUGCUUAUGUAUUGAUAGUGUUCAGCACCAAGGACAGACUUAGUUGCUC